GUGGGGAAUAUUGGACAAUGGGGGGAACCCUGAUCCAGCCAUGCCGCGUGUGUGAAGAAGGCCUUUUGGUUGUAAAGCACUUUAAGCGAGGAGGAGGCUACCGAGAUUAAUACUCUUGGAUAGUGGACGUUACUCGCAGAAUAAGCACCGGCUAACUCUGUGCCAGCAGCCGCGGUAAUACAGAGGGUGUAAGCGUUAAUCGGAUUUACUGGGCGUAAAGCGCGCGUAGGUGGCCAAUUAAGUCAAAUGUGAAAUCCCCGAGCUUAACUUGGGAAUUGCAUUCGAUACUGGUUGGCUAGAGUAUGGGAGAGGAUGGUAGAAUUCCAGGUGUAGCGGUGAAAUGCGUAGAGAUCUGGAGGAAUACCGAUGGCGAAGGCAGCCAUCUGGCCUAAUACUGACACUGAGGUGCGAAAGCAUGGGGAGCAAACAGGAUUAGAUACCCUAGUAGUCC
rnacentral:rRNA from 1 species